rnacentral:rRNA from 1 species
GACGAACGCUGGCGGCGUGCUUAACACAUGCAAGUCGAACGGAAAGGCCCUGCUUUUGUGGGGUGCUCGAGUGGCGAACGGGUGAGUAACACGUGAGUAACCUGCCCUUGACUUUGGGAUAACUUCAGGAAACUGGGGCUAAUACCGGAUAGGAGCUCCUGCUGCAUGGUGGGGGUUGGAAAGUUUCGGCGGUUGGGGAUGGACUCGCGGCUUAUCAGCUUGUUGGUGGGGUAGUGGCUUACCAAGGCUUUGACGGGUAGCCGGCCUGAGAGGGUGACCGGCCACAUUGGGACUGAGAUACGGCCCAGACUCCUACGGGAGGCAGCAGUGGGGAAUAUUGCACAAUGGGCGGAAGCCUGAUGCAGCCACGCCGCGUGCGGGAUGACGGCCUUCGGGUUGAAAACCGCUUUCGCCUGUGACGAAGCGUGAGUGACGGUAAUGGGUAAAGAAGCACCGGCUAACUACGUG